CCCUUUUCUUUCAGGAACUGUUAUGUGUCUUUGAAAGAACUGUCAACAUAAACGUUCGCAAAUGUGUUUUCUAACACAUAUAAUCGCAAAUGUUCAUCUUCACGCACACUUACUCAUCCUUAUAAACACACACACAAACAUCAUAUGUCCAUGAAUACCUUCAAGAUGUAAAGACGACACAACAUCUUAAGAAUGACAAUCAUUAUAGACGUUUCGUAGUCAACAAAAACGUCUCCUUUCACUGAACGAACAUACCAGAAAAAUCUGAAAUAAAUCAAGAAGGCCAUAGAUGGUUCCCCACUCUAUUCCAAGAACAAAAGUAGAAUGUUCAGCAGAGUAUCAGGUAAACAAGGCCCAGCCAAACCGAAACAUCCUGAUUCAAACUCUCAGUUCUCUUGGCCUUGGAUAGGCAAAACAACGAAUGCAAUGACGCACAAUCAACUGCCUCCGGAGUCUGGAUCAAGCACGAGACAGCACAGCGAUGAGAAAUGGCAGUUGCACAUACCCUGAAACUGAAUGUACAUACGGCCAUGGAGCACACAUAUAAAUUAUGAAGCCUAGAGACUGCGAAAAUUUCCUACUGCAAAAUAGGAAAUGCUCCAGUAAGACUACUUGUCAGUGGCACUUUAAUCUGGGCCACAACAGAGAAGAUCAAAACUCCAUAUGUACAAAUAAUUUGAUUACGACUCAUUACAGCUGCAUGCAUUAUAUGCUUUUCCAGAUCUAUUGAGUUCUCCGGCUUCUGGAGGUGGCUCUUGCCGUCAGGCGUCAGCGAGCCGUUAGAUGAUCGUCCUCCUCACCACCACAAGCUGAUACAUCAUAUAGAUUGGUUAGAAUGAAGCUAGACAAACCUCUAGACGAUAUAAAGAUCAUGAAUCAGAGAGCAGACGUAGCAGCUUUUUUAGGUGAAAAAGAACAUCAGCAGCAGCAGCUCCAACUUAUUUGUCACAAAAGCAAAUUGCAUAAACUGAAGACAAGGCGGCAAUUAUAGAGAGGGAGGGAGGGAGGGAGGGAGAAAGAGAGAGAGAGAGAGAAACUCUGAGGCUUAUUAGAACUUCUGUUCCUUCAUUGCUUAGAAAAAAAGGCUAAAAUGCCAGCUUGUUUAUACAGCACACAACCUCCUUGAACGACCAGACUGGAUUCUAGCCAACUCACUGGAUGCAUACGGAAUAAAACCAACCGACUCAAACUAUUCCUUGCCUAAAACAACUCAAACUAUCUUCUGUCUCUAAUGUGGUUGUACAUAGACCUGCUGCUGUCAUAUUCUACAAGGAUACAACUCUUCAAUUGCUAAACAUGUCAUCUCCUAUUCUCCUUAUGACUAUCCUAUACCUGUCCUAAUUUUCAUGAUAUUCACGAACAAUUUGGGUAUUACUCUCUGUACAGGGUCGGUGGUGUAGUACAGAAGUUCUAGUAAGCCUCAGAGUGUGGUGACUCUUUCCGUAACUCUUGAUGCCAUCGAGGAAUUUAUUCCUCCACUAAACAACUUCACAUUGGGCAGACAGCAUACUAAUUUUGAAACAAGAAUAGGUAGGACGAACUGGUUAUCUGAGAUUUAUAGAUGAGGGUGGACCCCAAGACCGACCCUGUACUAUACCACCGAGACACAUAAGUGUCACAUGGACAACAUGUUACGAACACCAAAAUUUGAACCUUGGUUGUAAUCAAGUCAUCGUGGAACCAGAUGCUAAGCAUUCCAUUGAUGUUAUGCACAUAGUUUCUAUUGGAUGGGUGACCAUUUUGCAUAUGCAUUUUUCAAAACUAUUUGUAGGCUAUAUGCCACAACUCAUGCCCGGGGACUUGGCGAGAAUCUGAAACUGAGUGAUAGAAACUCUUCAUGGUAACAACUUCAGGAUGAAUGAAAUGCAAGCCUUUGAUCUGUAGCAACUUGUGAUUUUCCUCUUGUCAAAAGAAACUUAUAAUUUUCCCAAGAACCGAGCCACCAAGAGUAUCCUCUGUCCUCCGAAAACUACCCUUCAAUCCAGUCUAUGUACGAUUCCAACAGGCAUAGGAGAAAACUAUAUACAUUUCCAAUGCCACUGGCCAGAAUCAUGAGGUGCUAACAGUGUGUUUGGUGCAGGGGACAUCACAGGACGGUUCACGGAUAUCCAUCUUGUAUCUGAAGUAUUCAGAUCCUUUAUGAGAAGUAUUCAGGUUUCAGAGGAACAUGUCAAGAAGUAUUGCCAUCCAUCGUUUAGUCUAGGAUGUAAUCUGGCUAUGAGGAUUAUCUUAUCUUCAACAUAUUAAUUCACUAUGUUAAACUAGAAACUAAACAAGUUCACUACUCGUAUCCUGAAAAUGGACUGACCCACAAUAACAUAUUGAGGGAGGACCCCCUGGAAAAAUAAUCCUAAGGAAAAAAGGAAGGACCAUCAAGCUGGUGAGUGAACAAUGAAAUAAUCAAACCACACAUCCAGUGCAAAAAAAAUGUAUGCCCUACUUCCAAAAGAAAAAAACAAGAGCACAAAAUCAAGUGGUUCUAAGAGCCUACUUUCACAGUUUCAGUAUCAACUAAAUGUAGCUACUAGCUACUCCCUCCGUUCCUAAAUAUAAGUCUUUUUAGACAUUUCAACAGGGGACUACAUACGGAACAAAAUGAGUGAACCUACACACUAAAAUAUGUCUAUAUACAUCCGUAUGUAGUUUCCUAUUGAAAUGUCUAAAAAGACUUAUAUUUAGGAACUUAGGGAGUAGAAAAGCUGACUACGAUCAUGGCUAAAAUACUCUGCUUAUCUCCGAUACAGAUGGUCUCCACGAGGAUACUCGGACUAAUACUAACAUAUCCCGUCACAGCUUCUUAGAAAUUAAUAAACACACCAUAAGUUGCAGCAGCUUUGAUUCUUUGACGAACAAAACAAUGACCAUGAUGGGAGCUAAAGAUUACAUCUACUUUUCCCUAUGUCUGCCGGAUUAUCUUAUUCAAUUGGUAGGGAACCUAUCCAAAAAGUUGAGUGCACUUUCAGGAUAUACUUUCUUACAUCUGAUUAAUAUAAGCAUAAGCAUAAUCCGACGCCCUAAUGAGUUGACAAGGCAGAACCAAGUCUAAUUGAUCAAAAGUGGAUCCCGACACCAAACCAUGGUAUUAAGGCAUCAAGUUGCACAUUCCGGUACCAUCUCAAUCCUAGGCGAUCUCAUCAUCAGUCCCAUGUGAUGUGAGUUUUCUUCUAUUUGUUUUCUGAUUUUAAAAUUUGUCUGCCAGGGCAACAGCAUGCAUAAUUUGGCACAAAGAUGCUAAAGAGCAAACGAAACACAGUUAGAAAUGGCAUCAGCAGGACGUACCGCCGCAGCAGAAGCAGCAGCAGCAGCACGUGAGGAGCAUGGCGGCGUCGCAGGCGAGCUCGAGCGCGGUGGCCACCAUCGAGCCCCUCGACGACGUCGGGCGGCCCUCGAGCAGAGGCGCCUGCUGCGGGCCCUCGUCCCCGUCCUGGCCCUGCUGCCCCUGCCCCUGCCCCUGCCGCUGCGCGCGUUUCUUGUGGGCGAGGUUGAACUCCAGCUUCUCCAGGUAGGCGUGCUUGAACGAGUCCCGGAUCCGGAGCGACGGCCAGAGGUGCAUCUUCGCCGGGCGUGGAGGGGGCGGGGGCGGCGGCGGCGGGGGUUGGCCGGGCUGGGGAAUGUCCUAGGGAUCGACGGGGGGUGGCGUGGUGGACCGAGGAAGGCGGAGGAGAAGCGUGAAUUUUUGGCUUCGCCUUGAUUGGGACGGUGCGGGUUGCGGAUUUNNN
rnacentral:lncRNA from 1 species